rnacentral:SRP_RNA from 1 species
ACCAGGUGUGGUGGUGUACGCCUAUAGUCCCAGCUACUUGGGGGGCUGACGCUGGAAAUUCACUUGAGCCCAGCAGUUCUGGGCUGUAGUGCGCUAUGCCGAUUGGGUGUCGUCACUAAGUUUGGCAUCAAUAUGGUGAUCUCCCAGGAGCUGGGAGCCACCAGGUUGUCUAAGAAGUGAUGAACCAACCCAGGUCAGAAACAGAGCAGGUCAAAAACCUUGGCCUGUCUACAAAGAGGAGUUCCUCUCUUCCCCAGAUCUUUGUUUUAACCUCUGU